AUACGUAGGGGGCGAGCGUUGUCCGGAAUGAUUGGGCGUAAAGGGCGCGUAGGCGGCCCGGUAAGUCUGGAGUGAAAGUCCUGUUUUUAAGAUGGGAAUUGCUUUGGAUACUGUCGGGCUUGAGUGCAGGAGAGGUAAGUGGAAUUCCCAGUGUAGCGGUGAAAUGCGUAGAGAUUGGGAGGAACACCAGUGGCGAAGGCGAAUUACUGGACUGGAACUGACGCUGAGGCGCGAAAGUGUGGGGAGCAAACAGGAUUAGAUACCCUGGUAGUCCACACUGUAAACGAUGAAUGCUAGGUGUAGGGGGUAUCGACCCCUUCUGUGCCGCAGUCAACACAAUAAGCAUUCCGCCUGGGGAGUACGGCCGCAAGGUUGAAACUCAAAUGAAUUGACGGGG
rnacentral:rRNA from 1 species